CUACAUCUCCCGUAAUUCCCUCUGUCACGCCACGAAAGAGCUGAAGGAUGGCUGCACACAAGAAGCACCGAUGUAAGAUACUCUCAGUUGCAGGAGGAGAAGAUAAAAUGAGACGGAGGAGGGUGAAACCACUUGAUGAAGCAGUACAACAUGUCACCAGUGCAACUGACAAGACUGAUGUAUUGGAGAGUAAAUUAAUAAACCCUUAUAAAGGUCAUGGUGUAUUUGCCCUGGCUUCUUUGAAUAAAGGAGAUUUUGUGGUUGAAUGCAGAGGGGAACU